rnacentral:sRNA from 1 species
CGCGGCCAGAUGUCGAGGAGAAAUCCCUUCCCACUAUGUCCCUAAGUUCCAGCUGUCCCUAAAAGUUCCAGCUCAUCUCGCCUGGCCUCCCCCUGAGUCAGUGGGACUCCCAGCCACUGCCACCACAGCUGAAAUUCUCAUGCAACAUCUUCACAGGCACCUUGGACCCCAAGCAUGACUCAUCCAGGUUCCAGAGCCAAAGUGGACUGAACAUGGAAAGACUUUUAUUAUAGAAAUGACAAGAUGCUUUGCACGGUGGAGAGCUGAAUUUACUUGGCUCCCAUUAGAAACUCUUUCAGCUUAAGUACUUAUUGUGGUAGUGAGUCCUACAGUAUUUCAGUAAAAAG